UACAGAGGUCUCGAGCGUUAGGCGGAAUCACUGGGCUUAAAGCGUGUGUAGGCGGCUCGGUAAGUACCUUGUGAAAUCCCACAGCUUAACUGUGGAACUGCUUGGUAUACUGCCAGUCUUGAGCCAGCUAGGGGCUACCGGAACAAAUGGUGGAGCGGUGAAAUGCGUAGAUAUCAUUUGGAACGCCAAUGGUGAAAACAGGUAGCUGGGGCUGUGCUGACGCUGAGACACGAAAGCCAGGGGAGCGAACGGG
rnacentral:rRNA from 1 species